UACGUAGUUGGCAAGCCUUGUCCGGAAUUAUUGGGCGUAACGCGCGCGCAGGCGGUCCUUUAAGUCUGAUGUGAAAUCUUGCGUCUCAACCGCAAGCGGUCAUUGGAAACUGGGGGACUUGAGUACAGCAGAGGAGAGCGGAAUUCCACGUGUAGCGGUGAAAUGCGUAGAGAUGUGGAGGAACACCAGUGGCGAAGGCGGCUCUCUGGUCUGUAACUGACGCUGAGGCGCGAAAGCGUGGGGAGCAUACAGG
rnacentral:misc_RNA from 1 species